rnacentral:rRNA from 1 species
AUUUCUGAAACGAGUAGCACAGACCAGCUUGGUCUCGGUGACGAGUGGCGGACGGGUGAUUAAUGUCUGGCAAACUGCCUGAUGGAGGGGAAUAACUACUGCAAACGGUAGCUAAUACCGCAUAACGUCGCAAGACCAAAGAGGGGGGCCUUCGGGCCUCUUGCCAUCAGAUGUGCCCAGAUGGGAUUAGCUAGUAGGUGGGGUAACGGCUCACCUAGGCGACGAUCCCUGCUGGUCUGAGAGGAUGACCAGCCACACUGGAACUGAGACACGGUCCACACUCCUACGGGAGGCAGCAGUGGGGAAUAUUGCACAAUGGGCGCAAGCCUGAUGCAUCCAUGCCGCGUGUAUGAAGAAGGCCUUCGGGUUGUAAAGUACUUUCAGCGGGGAGGAAGGUGUUGUGGUUAAUAACCACAGCAAUUGACGUUACCCGCAAAAGAAGCACCGGCUAACUCCGUGCCAGCAGCCGCGGUAAUAC